GAUGAACGCUGGCGGCGUGCCUAAUACAUGCAAGUCGAGCGAACAGACGAGGAGCUUGCUCCUCUGACGUUAGCGGCGGACGGGUGAGUAACACGUGGAUAACCUACCUAUAAGACUGGGAUAACUUCGGGAAACCGGAGCUAAUACCGGAUAAUAUAUUGAACCGCAUGGUUCAAUAGUGAAAGACGGUUUUGCUGUCACUUAUAGAUGGAUCCGCGCCGCAUUAGCCAGUUGGUAAGGUAACGGCUUACCAAGGCAACGAUGCGUAGCCGACCUGAGAGGGUGAUCGGCCACACUGGAACUGAGACACGGUCCAGACUCCUACGGGAGGCAGCAGUAGGGAAUCUUCCGCAAUGGGCGAAAGCCUGACGGAGCAACGCCGCGUGAGUGAUGAAGGUCUUCGGAUCGUAAAACUCUGUUAUUAGGGAAGAACAAAUGUGUAAGUACCUAUGCACGUCUUGACGGUACCUAAUCAGAAAGCCACGGCUAACUACGUG
rnacentral:rRNA from 1 species